rnacentral:rRNA from 1 species
UUCUUCGGAUGAAGUAUGAUAUGACUGAGUGGCGGACGGGUGAGUAACGCGUGAGUAACCUGCCCUUCAGAGGGGGAUAACAGUUAGAAAUAGCUGCUAAUACCGCAUAAGCGCACGGUUCCGCAUGGAACAGUGUGAAAAACUCCGGUGGUGUGAGAUGGACCCGCGUCUGAUUAGCCAGUCGGCGGGGUAACGGCCCACCAAAGCGACGAUCAGUAGCCGGCCUGAGAGGGUGAACGGCCACAUUGGGACUGAGACACGGCCCAAACUCC